CUAGAUCCCCCUAAGUCGAAACCCUUUAAAUCCCCAGUCAUUUUUGAAAAUAAGGGGAUCGGUCAGCUCUCAAACAAAAAGAAAAAAAACCCAUUUUCAAACACACAGCUACCCCUCAAAAUAAACAAACAAAUCUAGCCAAAAAAAAAAUGAAAACAAAAACCAAAAAAUAACACAGUCCUCACCGUAGGCGAGGAACCUCAGCGUCGAGCCACCUGCAAAAGCCAAGAAAUCAUCAGUUUCGUCGAAAAAAAAAAUAAGAAAAACCAAAAACUUUAAAACUCGAUCUACGCGAAUCAAGGCCGUUUUUGGUGAAAAGGAGGUCAGAUCCGUGCUCAGGGGGUCGAGAAGAUUUCGUGGGAGAAUUUUAGGGUUUUUUCGACCACCAGAGACGACGGAGGGCGACCGGCGAACGGCGGCGGCACCGACGGCCGGCCAGCGUGCGGCUGAAGAAGAAGAGAGAAGAAAAAAAAAGGGCUUUUUUUUUUCUGAAGACCGAAAAUAUGACGAAAAAAAUUUUUUUGACUUUUAUAUAAACUGUCAAUAGCCAAAACGACGUCGUUUCAAUAAAAGCCCAAAACGACGUCGUUUUAACCAAAGAAGGAUCCGCGCGUUGACCCGGACCCGACCCGGGGUCCGCGCACCCGACCCACGACCCGUUCCAGCCAGCCUUGAACCGGUUCAUACGAACCGCCAGUGGACCGGACUGAACUGGUCAGAUCGCCCGAACCGCCGAUCCAACUGUCGAACCGGUCAGACCGCCCGGACCAGCGUUGACUGGACCGUUGACCGGUCAGGUUCAGGUAAAAAAAAAAUUUUUUUGAAUUUUUUUUUAUUAUUUUUGUUAUUUUAAAUAUAUUUUUAUAUGUAUGCAUGAUAAAUUUAUAAAUUUGUUAGAAUGAAUGUUUAAUCAUUUUAAUAAUAAUAAAAUUAAAAACAAAUAAUAAUUAAAAAUAUAUUAAAAUGCUUUAAAAAAAUAACAAUAAUUUUUCCUGCUUAGAUGUUGGAGGGAAUAAAAAUAUUUUUCUAAAACAAUAAUUUCGCCUAGAUGUUGGGGAAUUAUUGUUAAUAAUUUUUCAUAAAUAAACAUAAAAAAUUGCUUCAAAUAGAAUUUUCACACGUGUCCUUAGGAUUUUUUUUUUUAGGACUUUGGAUUUCAAGGAUUUUGGAUUUCGGGGGGUUUUGGAUUUAAUGGAUUUUGGAUUUUUAGGGGUUUUAGAAACCUAGGAUUAAGAAAUAAUGCUUAAGGUUUCGUUUUUAAGAAAAUAUGAACAUCUCUGAAAAUUCCCAACAUCUAGGCAGAUUUUUGAAGCAAGUUCGAUUUUAAUAAUUUUU
rnacentral:lncRNA from 1 species